rnacentral:lncRNA from 1 species
GUUUAUCAUUUAUUUUGUAUUUUAAACUAUUUUAAACUAUGACUCAAUAGCUAUUUAUUUGCACGUACUUAAAAAUUAAGUAUAAUAAACACAACUUCAAAUAUAAAUGAAGACUUUCCCUGGCAGCAUUGUCAUAUCAAGAAAUCCAGAUGGACAAAGUUGUAUCCAUUUGGAAGGAUUUGAGCCUCCAGACUAGUCUAGAAGUAAGGAUCCUUUAGGCAAUAAGUAUCUUAUUUCUACUUUCUAAGUCGAUUUUUGAGAAAUUAUCAAUAGCUUUUAAAGAUGAUUGUCUCUCCUCCCUGCCCAACUUAUUCACUCACUCAGCCUACAUUGCACCUUGUGAACUCCACUGAGUUGACUUUUAACUUUAUCAUUAUAUUAAACAGUCAUGAGAUUUAGGUUUGAGGCCUUUUUCCUUUUUAAUGAAAUGAUAUGAUAAUGAUUAAAAUUUAUCAUUAUGGUAAUCAUCAUCAAGAUAAUGAUAAAUCUUGAAAUAUUUAAUCUUCAGUAAUUUCAUCAGGCCAUGAAUGUUAUUUUGCUUAAUAGAUGGCUAUGUCAAUUAAUGUAUAUAGAACACAAUACUUGUCUGAGACAUUUCUUCUUCUUUAUAUGUGAAAUUGACAUAGCUGAGGUAGUUUUUGCCAUGUUGUUUAUUAUUUUUUCAUGUGGCACCCAAGCUUAUAUCACUAUACAGUCUAUACUGAGAAGCCAUGGUUAAGGUUAUUCUACAGUUGCUAAUGAAGUUCUGUUUCAGAAUUUGUGAUAUGUUGGACAUGUACGGUUGGGUAGAAUUUUCUUUUUAUUCUCCAAGGGAAACAAAAGGACUUGCCAAACAAGUGAACAUUAUGCAUUAUGUUACAGAGGAAAAUAUUCUCUUAAGAAAAGCAGAAGCUUUCAACUUUUGAUGAAUUUUCCAUGAAUCUAAAUUACAUCUUCACUAUAAACCACAUAAUUUUAGUCUUUGACAGGUACUGUUCAGCUCAUAUUGGUAUUUUGCCAAACUAAUUUUAAAUUAUUUUCUACCCAGUAAGGUAAAAUAUCUGUUUUUUGGUUAUGCUUGUUGAAUGUAAAAAAAUAUCUUUUAAAAACAGUCAAAUAUUCAGGUUGUAUGGUAGUUUGAGUAGGCUUUCUCCAAUUAAUUUCAUUUCACAGGAUUUUUUUGGACUACUUAAUUCUUUUGUGGGUAGAAGGAGAUGGCAGAAAAGAAGUGAUACACUGAGGAGGGUAAUUAUCAGAGGUUUUCGGGAAGUAUUUUUACCUAAGACAACCAAAUUUUUUUUAAUCAAGUGAUAAGAUAUGAGAAUGGGAAGCAUAUGUGUAAUUUUUCUAGACAUUUGAUUUCCCUCCACAUGAUUAUGCAGAGCACCUAAGAAAUCGAUGACCUGUGAUUCCUUCUUUUGAAAAUUACCUCCUACUCUCAUGCAUAUGGUAAUAGGGGAGGCAGGAGAAGUUUGGCAGAGUGUCUGUGCCUCUUCUCAUAGUUUCUCAAUCCAAAGGUGGGUCUUGGACUUAAGUCUGGUUGUUCAGAAUCCUGUCUCAGGAUUUUUGGAAUGGGAAACCAAAUAUAAUAUAAUAUAAUAUAAUAUAAUAUAAUAUAAUAUAAUAUAAUAUAAUAUAUAUUUAAUAUGUAUUAAAUAUAUAUAUAUACUCCAAUCACUCUCUCAGGCCAUGGCCUCUUGCAAUAAGGAACUAUCCAUCUAUGACUCCUGCUGUAGAGGGUUUCCUGGGAGCAUGUUUUUUAUUAUGUGACUCAGCUCCAGGUACAGAACCAAUUAGACUAGGAAUGGGCCCCAGAACAGUUCAUGUAUAUGCUUAAUGAGGCUGGCACAAAACAAUAAAGUUUGUUAAAAAGACUCUCUUUCAAGAACUUAGGAUAUUAACUACUGAUAGAAAGCGUCAUUUAGAAAUGACUUAGGAUAUUAACUACUGAUAGAAAGCGUCAUUUAGAAAUGGAAGUUGAACUGAAAUGUCUCAUACAGAGAAGAGUUAGAGAGGUCAUGAUGGUCAUGUACAAGGUAAAAUUAUAUAGAGCCUAGGUGCGGUGGCUCACA